rnacentral:rRNA from 1 species
UACGAAGGGGGCGAGCGUUUGUUCGGAUUUACUGGGCGUAAAGGGCGCGCAGGCGGUCUUGAAAGUCAGGCGUGAAAGCCCCGGGCUUAACCUGGGAAUUGCGCUUGAUACUCUGAGACUGGAGUACGGGAGAGGAGAGUGGAAUUCCCAGUGUAGAGGUGAAAUUCGUAGAUAUUGGGAAGAACACCAGUGGCGAAGGCGGCUCUCUGGACCGUAACUGACACUGAGGCGCGAAAGCGUGGGGAGCAAACAGGGA